CAGACCUCUAAUCGGAAAAGACUACCCGCUGAGUUUAAGCAUAUCAUUAAGCGGAGGAGAAGAAACUAACCAGGAUUUCC
rnacentral:rRNA from 1 species